GGCGCUUUCAUCUAGCGGUUAGGAUACCGGCCUCUCACGCCGGGUACACGAGUUCGAGUCUCGUAGGCGCUACCA
rnacentral:tRNA from 1 species